rnacentral:rRNA from 1 species
UACGAGGGGGGCGAGCGUUGUUCGGAAUUACUGGGCGUAAAGGGCUCGUAGGCGGCCAACUAAGUCGGACGUGAAAUCCCUCGGCUUAACCGGGGAACUGCGUCCGAUACUGGAUGGCUUGAGUUCGGGAGAGGGAUGCGGAAUUCCAGGUGUAGCGGUGAAAUGCGUAGAUAUCUGGAGGAACACCGGUGGCGAAGGCGGCAUCCUGGACCGACACUGACGCUGAGGAGCGAAAGCCAGGGGAGCAAACGGG